rnacentral:rRNA from 2 species
GAGCAGGUUGAAGGUUGGGUAACACCAACUGGAGGACCGAACCCGUGAAUGUUGAAAAAUUCUGGGAUGACUUGUGGAUAGGGGUGAAAGGCCAAUCAAACCUGGACAUAGCUGGUUCUCCGCGAAAUCUAUUUAGGUAGAGCGUCCGACGAAUUCCUUGGGGGGUAGAGCACUGGAUGGUUGCGGGCUGCGCGAGCGGUACCAAUACUAACCAAACUCCGAAUACCCAAGAGAACUAUCGGGCAGACACACGGCGGGUGCUAACGUCCGUCGUGAAAAGGGAAACAACCCUAACCAUCAUCUAAGGCCCCCAAGUCACGGCUAAGUGGGAAACGAUGUGGGAUUGCUUUGACAAUCAGGAGGUUGGCUUAGAAGCAGCCAUCCUUUAAAGAAAGCGUAACAGCUCACUGAUCAAGCGAUCCUGCGCGGAAAAUGUAACGGGGCUCAAGCCGUGCGCCGAAGAUAUGGGUUUGCAGUUUACUGCAAGCGGUAGCGGAGCGUUCCGUAGGCCGGUGAAGGUCAGGCGUGAGCCUGGCUGGAGGUAUCGGAAGUGAGAAUGCUGACAUGAGUAACGAUAAGAGUGUGAGAGACACUCUCGCCGAAAGACCAAGGGUUCCUGCGUAAAGCUAAUCUGCGCAGGGUUAGUCGGCCCCUAAGGCGAGGCUGAAAAGCGUAGUCGAUGGGAAGCAGGUAAAUAUUCCUGCACCAGCUGGAAGUGACGGAUGGCUUAACUCGUACCCACUUAUUGGAUUGUGUGUGCGGGGGCGUUGUCCCAGGAAAUAACUCCAGCAGAGACCGUACCCGAAACCGACACAGGUGGUCAGGUAGAGCAUACCAAGGCGUUUGAGAGAACUAUGCUGAAGGAACUCGGCAAAUUGCACGCGUAACUUCGGAAUAAGCGUGACUCACCUUGCGCAAGCAGGACUGAGUGGCACAAGCCAGGGGGUAGCGACUGUUUAGCAAAAACACAGGGCUCUGCGAAGCAGCAAUGCGACGUAUAGGGUCUGACGCCUGCCCGGUGCCUGAAGGUUAAAGGGAGAUGUGAAAGCGUCGAACUGAAGCCCAGGUAAACGGCGGCCGUAACUAUAACGGUCCUAAGGUAGCGAAAUUCCUUGUCGGGUAAGUUCCGACCUGCACGAAUGGCGUAACGA